rnacentral:tRNA from 1 species
ACUUGAAUAGCUUAUAUAGAGCAUAAUAUUGAAGAUAUUAAGGAAAGAUUUAUCUUUUUAAGUA